rnacentral:lncRNA from 1 species
CUUCCAUGACCAACUUGAGCUCUUCGCUUCGCUACACUCUCCGCCGUUGAUUUAUCUUUCGCCCUCGUCUGAUACCCUCGUCUGAUUAUAUCAGGUUUGACAACCCCCUCUCUCUAAAUAUGCACAAAUAAGAGUGUAUGUGUAUGUGUAUGUGUAUGUGUAUGUGUAUGUGAAUGAAUCAGAUGAUUGUCUGAGAUUUGAACGCCCUCCAACUGUUUGAUGAAAUGUCUGACCCAAAAACUUGGGUAUUUUGCUUUGUU